rnacentral:rRNA from 1 species
GUCGGGAAUUUUGGGCAAUGGGCGAAAGCCUGACCCAGCAACGCCGCGUGAAGGAUGAAAUCCCUCGGGAUGUAAACUUCGCAAGAACGGGAAGAAUAAGCCUGUGCGAAUAACACAGGUGAUGACGGUACCGUUUGUAAGCUCCGGCUAACUCCGUGCCAGCAGCCGCGGUAAUACGGGGGGAGCAAGCGUUGUUCGGAUUUACUGGGCGUAAAGGGCGCGUAGGCGGCCACCGCAAGUCAGUUGUGAAAUCUCCGGGCUUAACUCGGAAAGGUCAACUGAUACUGCGGGGCUAGAGUGCGGAAGGGGCAACUGGAAUUCUCGGUGUAGCGGUGAAAUGCGUAGAUAUCGAGAGGAACACCUGCGGCGAAGGCGGGUUGCUGGGCCGACACUGACGCUGAGGCGCGAAAGCUAGGGGAGCGAACGGGAUUAGAAACCCUGGUAGUCC